UAGCUAAAUGCGGAAGAGAUAAGUGCUGAAAGCAUCUAAGCACGAAACUUGCCCCGAGAUGAGUUCUCCCUGACUCCUUGAGAGUCCUGAAGGAACGUUGAAGACGACGACGUUGAUAGGCCGGGUGUGUAAGCGCAGCGAUGCGUUGAGCUAACCGGUACUAAUGAACCGUGAGGCUUAACCUU
rnacentral:rRNA from 1 species